GGAAGUAAAAGUCGUAACGAGGUUUCCGUAGGUGAACCUGCGGAAGGAUCAUUAUUGUAUAACCGAGGUGCGAGGGCUGUCGCUGACCCGAAAGGUCGUGCACGCCCGAGUGCCCUCACACACAUCCAUCUCACCCCUAUGUGCACCACCGCGUGGGUCCCCCUUUGGCUUGUUCGGAGGGGGGCUUACGUUUUCACACAAACUUUGUAUGCAGUGUAGAAUGUAUUUUUUGUUUUUGCGAUCACGCAAUCAAUACGACUUUCAACAACGGAUCUCUUGGCUCUC
rnacentral:misc_RNA from 1 species